UGUUGGGAUGCAAAUUUGCCGAGCCUACUCUGUUGCCCCGCCUUGAAAUUUAGCCAAUCGGCCUCUCUAACCUGGCCCCACCCCAACGGCUCCGUUUAACUUCACCCAUCUUCCGACAGGCUGUAAUUGCACGCCAACCUCUUGCAGAAAAGUAGCUGUCCACAACCUGCAAUACUACUGCAACUGUCCUGCUGCUGCUCUGCCAGAAGCUGAGGAUAAAUCUAAGAACAUGGCCUCUGCCCCAAAGGCUUCACAGUCCAGUUGGGAAGCUAGACUCUGCAGACCCACAGUGGUCUCACUGAUCGCUUAAGAUUGCCUGUCCAGUUCUGCAUUCAAGAUUAUGCCGGCACUGAAGUGACUAUUCUGCUGCUGGGAAAUUCAGCUACCCUCUCCAAGCCUGGGUCAAAUCUGCUUAGUGGUCAGCCUCAUCAUCUCUCCCACUCUUUUACUGAUGUCUCUGUUCGAGUAACCUCUGACUCACUCUCCGAAGUCCUUCAAACCCAACUCCCAUUAAGCUCCAUCACCCACUAUCACCCACCAACCUCUUUCAUGGCCAGCAAUCCACAGUUCUACUCCUGCCCUAACCAGAUGUGUGACCUUCAACAAGUCUUUUUUUCCUGCCUGGACUCAGAUUCCUCGACCAACAUCAUAAUCUCUGCCCAGCCAUCCUCCUAUCCUGGACUGAUGUGAGGAUUUGAUGAGACAACAUGUUUAAGAGGUCAUGUAGUGUGCAUAUCAACAUGAUUAUGUUUCCAAGCAGCUCUAGUUGUUAUGAAGUUUUCAUUAGAAUAAAAUUUGCCUCUUGGAGAUGA